rnacentral:rRNA from 1 species
AUUUCACCUAUGUGUCGCGAGUUUGUAAAUUGCACGGUUGGAGUCUCGGGUUAAACGUGUGUUGCAAGUCCCUUGGAACACGGGUGUCCACCUGAGGGUGAGAGCCCCGUAGCGUGCAUGUCUGACACCUGUGAGGCCCUUCUUGACGAGUCGAGUUGUUUCGGGUAAUGCAGCUCUAAUGUGGGUGGUAAAUUCCAUCUAAGGCUAAAUAUUGGCGAGAGACCGAUAGCGAACAAGUACUGUGAAGGAAAGAUGAAAAGCACUUUGAAAAGAGAGUGAAACAGCACGUGAAAUUGUUGAAAGGGAAGGGUAUUGGGCUCGACAUGGGAUUUACGCAUCGUUGCCUCUCGUGGGCGGCGCUCUGGGUUUUUCCUGGGCCAGCAUCGGUUUUCGUUGCAGGAUAAGGACAAUUGGAAUGUGGCUCCUCGGAGUGUUAUAGCCUUUUGUAGAUAAC